rnacentral:rRNA from 1 species
GACGAACGCUGGCGGCGUGCCUAAUACAUGCAAGUAGAACGCUGAAGGAGGAGCUUGCUUCUCUGGAUGAGUUGCGAACGGGUGAGUAACGCGUAGGUAACCUGCCUGGUAGCGGGGGAUAACUAUUGGAAACGAUAGCUAAUACCGCAUAAUAGCAGUUGUUGCAUGACAACUGUUUGAAAGGUGCAAUUGCACCACUACCAGAUGGACCUGCGUUGUAUUAGCUAGUUGGUGGGGUAACGGCUCACCAAGGCGACGAUACAUAGCCGACCUGAGAGGGUGAUCGGCCACACUGGGACUGAGACACGGCCCAGACUCCUACGGGAGGCAGCAGUAGGGAAUCUUCGGCAAUAGACGGAAGUCUGACCGAGCAACGCCGCGUGAGUGAAGAAGGUUUUCGGAUCGUAAAGCUCUGUUGUAAGAGAAGAACGAGUGUGAGAGUGGAAAGUUUACACUGUGACGGUAUCUUACCAGAAAGGGACGGCUAACUACGUG